GACGAAGGGCAUUCUCGGGCAAUGGUAAUUUAAUUUUCACUUGUGACACGUCUUCCACCGAUUCUUCGAGAACUUUUGGCUCCAACUCUAUACAUCAAUGGGAGCUCAAAAUUAAGACCCACUGUAAACUGAACCUUUGUGUUUCCCCAUGAUGACCUACUGUAAAUUGACACCUCCUUUGGGUUAUAUCCCUUUGUACCGGCAUGAUCUACCGGCCGCCGAUGAGCUUCAUUUGGUCUUUUGUUGGUUUCUCAUGUGAUAGCAUUACAAUUACUUAGAGGUAAAAGAACAGUAAUUGAAAAAGAUCGAGAUAUUGGGAGGAGCAAAAAUCUAUUCAUUUGCCGGAGAAAUUACAUUGCAGCUGUAUUGCAGACUAAAUGAGGACGUACAGUGAGCAAUCUCAAGCCUUCUGAGCAUGUCUGCACUCUGCUCUAAAGAGCCACAAAGAGCCUAUGCAGAAAGUUCCCAAACUUGUAAUCAGAAGCAUGAUAGGAAUUGGUUCAAGGAUUAGAUUAGAGUCAAGUGGUUGUUCUUGAUAUUACAUAUGGGUAAGAGGAUGCUAUGCAUGUAGCAGAUUGGCAUUCCUCCAGUCAUUACAUGGAGCUUCCUAAAGGAAUUAAAAUUUGAAGUUUUACUACAUAACACCAGCAGGAAGAGGAUCAUGAUAUAAAAACAAUAGAUUAAAAUUCCAAGCCAGUUCCGAAAGGGAAAUCAUCAAUAAUGCAAGUCCAAAUUAAGAGAAGUAAAACAAAGGCGAAUGAAGGUUUUGAAAUUUGAUUUCGUAAAAACGAGACGCUUCUUCUACUUGGACUGAGGUCCUCCUCUACGUGCUGGACUCCUGAAUUGGCUUUUGUAUUAGUUGGAACGCCAGAACAUGAACAAUCUAACUACUCUUCUGUCUUUAUGGUACUACUGGUAGCAUGUUCAAGACUAAAUUGUACAACUUUGUUAUGCAAAUGAGUGUAUAUGCUAUGAACCAAAAUAUUUAGUCAGUUUGAUGAUGCUUCCUUCUUUGAGAUGAUCUUAUUGACAAUUAAAACAACUUUGAACCUUUUGGUAAACCGAUGUCUAGCACAUGGGGUUUCGAGGGUUAUAACGGGGAGACACAAAACAAGGUAAUAUUAAAUUGUGCUUUCUUUUGGAUUUCGAAGGGUCGGCACAGUUUGAUUUUUCAGAGAAAGUCUUAUGAAUUCAAGAAGUUCUUUCCGCAAAGAUUCAUUCUGCAAUUUGUGGGUGUAAUUGUUUAAAUUUAAUGUCUUUUGUUUCAUUUAGUCGGAAUAUAAUGGCCGCUCAAUUUUGAUUAACAGAUUUUGAAGAAAGUCCACCACUUUAACUAUGAAGAGGUAAUUUGUGUGUUCUGUUCACACUGUUGAACCAUGAAUAACUCAUGUUGUGUGUUUCUCCGGAUAGUCAUUUGCCUUACUGAUAGUUUUGUACCUUUGAAAGUAUCACCAUUUUAUUCCUAUCAUUGUUGAACUUUUUUUUUGUGCUGAUGUUAUAUGCUCCACUAUGACGCUAAAUAGUUGUAAUUGAUAUUUCAUGCUAUAUCGUAUCAGAUGUAUUUUGUGAAACACUUGGAAACUGAUGUCUAACAAUAAAAUAAAGGUGGAUAUCAACACUAGAAUUGGAAUGAAUAGAAGCUUUUGGGGGACUUAUAAUACAGAUUCUAUUGAAAACAGCUAUCUCCAGAGAGUCGUAUAAAAAGCAGAUUCCGAGUACCAAAACAUACCAUUUAAUACCUUCGGAACAAUGAACAUCAUCUAUCUGACUGUUUAUUUAGUUAUUGUUUAUGAUAUCCAGGCCUCUUUACUGGACAAGUGAUACCAUUUUGUACCGGUAAGCACAAUGUAGUGUGUCUUUGUUCCUGGUAUCAUAUACCUCUAUAAUUUUGAUCUAUUUGUCUGUUGUUGUAGUAUGAGGAUGGUGUACAGCUUGAUUACUUGCAAAAUUGCCGAGGAUUCUGUUUGGGGGGAAAGAAUGUUCAUGCCAAAGGAGACUCUCCUGUUAACCAGGAGUCAAUCCACAAGAAAUUUUAGACACCCAAACUCACAGCUUUGGCAACUCAAUUUAUUUUGUUAUUCUGUCUUUUACGAGGGAUCCGAUGCUCACUCAUUGCAUGCUUGCUUCGAAAAUGAGAGGAAAUAAGGUACCAAUUUUUUGGUGUUUCAAUGGUCUUUGCGCAAGCAAAAUUACUUCAUUUGUAAAAUAGUACCUCAGAUGUUCUGUAGAGAAUUGUGUAAAAGUGGAGACUGAGUAAUUUUACCCACUUCCUAAUAAGAAAAAUAAUAAGCUUAACAUUUUAUAUUCCUACUACCACAUUUUCAAGUCCUUAAACUUUUCGCAUGAUUGUUCUUUUUUUGUUCCUUUCCUGCUUACGGAGGACAUGACCUUAGAUAGGAGGGUAUGGAGGAAUCAUAUUAGGGUAGAAGGAUAGUAGGUAGUCGCGUUUAUCCUCCCUUAAGAGUAGUUAUGUUGUUCUAUAGUUUCUUGUAGCUUGAUUUCUGCGAGUAUCUAUUGGUUUCGAAUGAUUUAUUUACUUCCAUUGUUUCAUUUUCAUAGUUAUCUAUAGCAGUUGAUACUCCUUUUAUCAUGACUUUUUUGUUUUGUUAUUUCUUGUUUUCAUAUUGUUUUCGAUACGCUUGAUCAUAUCUAACCUUUUGUCUUUUCCUCUCUUUUUCUCCUCUCUUGAGCCGAGGGUCUUUCGGAAACAGCCGCCCUACCUUUCAAGGUGGGGGUUAGGUCUGCGUACACUCUACCCUCCCCAGACCCCACAUAGUGGGAUUAUACUGGGCUUGUUGUUGUUGUUGUUGUUGUUGUUGUUGUUCUUUUUUGUUCCCUAAACUUUAGUUUCUGAACAUGUGAUGGUGCUGCUUUUAGUUCUCAAUGAAGUGCCUUCAUGUAUAAUAGACACAAUGUAGGGAAGAAUAUCUAUUUUUCUCUUUUUAAAGGUCUAAGCCAGCGAUACUAAUAUUUGCAAUACAAUUAAAUGAAACUUGGAUGGCAUAAUGAUAAGCCUGCAAGAUCUGCUGUCUAUAUCCUUCUAUGUUUUUCUUUUCUAUUCCUUUGUAAAUGUUAUAUUGGUUUCAGUUAUGUUGAAAAGUCAAGAAAGUCGUCAGAUGCAUGUGGGUUUCUGUUUUGAGAUCUAUGUAAAGUGGUAAAAGUUAUUGAUUUCUUGAUGGAAAACGGGUAAUUUCUAUUUCUUGGAUACAAAUAAUUAGAUCAGACGAACUGGAUCUGUUGUGGAGUUAUUCUGCAAUGAAUUUCACUUGAUCUACCGUCUUAUUCCUUUUCAAAAGGCUUUGAAUGGGGUACAAUAGUUUUGUGAUUUAUCAGUAUUUUAAAAUAUAUUAAAAAAAAAAGAAGAAAGCUUUCUUUUCUGUUGAAAAUUGGAAACGGAUAUGUCCUCCUUAAAACUUCUUGGAUUUCUGGGUACUGGUUUAUAUUGAAUAUUGUACUUUACGUCCUCUUAUAUUAUCUUGCUGUCGUAAGAAGGAUAAAAUAUAUUUUUGGCUCUCUUCUAUCUAUGUUUCAAUAUCUUUUAAUUGAUUGGUGUUUACUUUCUAUCCAGUCUGCAACUACUGUGCUCUAACAAAACAAACAAACCAGAUACGCAUGUAUAUAUUUGUUAUCGGUUGUUUAAAGCUGCAGAUGGUAUUGGCGGAACUGAAAAGAUGUGCAGACUACCGCUUGAAGAAGAAAAUUUUUCUGAAAACUUUGACAGCCACUCACUUGAGAUCAAAGUGAAACCCCAUGACAGUACCAGAAUUUAAGCUCGGAAACCAAUGUAGAACUUUGUUCCUAAAUCCAAGAAAAACUAUGAAGUGUUAAUAUGUUGUACUCAUUUUGCCGAAGUUUCCUUUUUUAGUGUUUUGAUAUUGAAUUUCUUUU